rnacentral:tRNA from 24 species
GGGUCUAUAGCGCAGCCAGGUAGCGCACUGGCCUUUUAAGCCAGCUGUCGUGGGUUCGAAUCCCACUAGACCCG